rnacentral:tRNA from 1 species
GCCGAGGUGGCGGAAUUGGUAGACGCGUUAGCUUCAGGUGCUAGUGAAUGUAAAUUCGUGCGAGUUCAAAUCUCGCUCUCGGUACCA